rnacentral:misc_RNA from 1 species
UCUCCGUUGGUGAACCAGCGGAGGGAUCAUUACUGGAAUCGCAAGAUCCCACAACCCUGUGAACCUACCGAAACGUUGCCUCGGCGGGUGCCCGGCCCCCGCGCCGGGCGCUGCGCCCGCCGGCGGCCCCUUACUCUGUCUCUGCAGCGUGGCAUCUCAGAGUCCCAGAAAACAAGUCAAAACUUUCAACAACGGAUCUCUUGGCUCUA